UUUAGGAACGGAGGGAGUAUAUUAUAUUAAAAAAAUGCCAUUGGUCUAGCAUUUCACCCUUUUUUAAUGUCCUAAACGUCUCUGUAGCUAAUGUUUUAAUUUUUCUUUUGGUUAUAUGUAGUCUUUUUAACAUACUUCAGCCAGUUUGGUUUCACAUGUAAUAGUGAAUUUUGCAGUUUUGCCACGCAUCGUAUUUCUCACUUGUUUUUUUUUCUUUUUCACAGAACGUAUUUCUCACUUGUAGGUCAAAGUACGUGCUGUUUGUCCAUCCAUCAGAGCAAAAUAUGUACAUCUAAUAUUCCUGCCAUAGCAAAAAGUAGGAGAAGGCUAUUGUUUUCUCCAAAUCACGCCGACAACAAAAUCCCCUUUCUUUAUUGUACUGUUCACUCUACGCGGCUGUGAUUUGGGUAGGGUGGGCAGGGGAGAUCCCAGGAGGACGCGUCAUGCUGCUCGACAUCGUCAUGGCCGGCGCGGCCGGGGCGAUGGUGCUGGAGGUUGGUGGUGCGGAGGAGGCGGUGACUGACCUGACGAAGGGUGCACAGGUUCGCGGAUUUCCCAGCGAUUUGGUGCGUGCCGAUCUUCCAAGCCAUUCUGACCGAGGGGACCGGGCGUUCGAGCAGCUGUUCUUGCUCCGGCCACCAGCGAGACCGGAUCUCGCCGUCGCUGAUAAGGAAAGGCGGAUGCCAGUCGCCUGGGAGGUCACGGGUGCUGGCAGAGAGCUUUGGCGUUGCGUAGAAUGGUCUCUCGUUCCUUGUCGCUUAGGUUGAUGAAGAGCGACAUAUUUCCAUCCAAUGAGUGGUGAGAGAUCUCAUGGAGGAUGGAGUACCGGUUCAUGGAUUUACUGGACAAAAUUGUUCUACUGGGUCAAGCUGUUGGUGCUAGGGCAUCAAUGCCAAGGUGGCAUGGGACAGAAAAUAAUUGUUGACCAAGGCAAGCUAAUGGAGAAUGACUGGAUCCUGAGGCACAGUACAGAUGGUGGACUACUGCUAUGGUCUAUUAGAGGUGUGGGGGUAACGGAGGCAGAUUCAUAUGAGGAGAUAGCGAAAUAAAUAAAUAGCACCAAGAUGUGAGCAACAUGUUUGGCCGGCCAUUGUGUUGUUGCCCUCCCCAUUGUCGGUGUGGACUUCUACCAGAUGUAAGUGCUGAUGAUAAGCAUCAUUCUAAUGAAUAUUAUGGCUUAUAGUUCCUACAUAGCACUGUAAAGUGGUUUUUUAUUUGUUGUUACCUUGUCUUAGCAAGAAGGUUUUAACUUGUUAAUUGUAAAACAAA